rnacentral:tRNA from 1 species
GCUGAUAUGGCACAGUUGGUAGCGCGUCGCAUUGGUAGUGCGGAGGUCACGGGUUCGACUCCCGUUAUCAGCU